ensembl:lncRNA
AUUUAAUGUCUAAAAUCUAUAUCUAAAAAUAUCUAAAAUUCUAAUUUUAGAAUAUCUAAAAAUUCAGUAUGUACUCAAUAAAUACUUGUUGAAGGGAUGAAUGUCCCAUUCAAUUUAUUUUCUGUAUUUCUGAAGGAUGGUACAUUUAUUCACUCAUUUUUAACAAGCGUUUAUUGAAUGCUUCCCAUAUGCCAGAUACUCUUCUGAUUUCAUGUUAUUCUUCUAUUGGGGGUGAGAUAGAUAACAUAGAAAAAAUUUUAAAAUGAGUAUUUUUUCAGAUUGCAAUAAAGUUUAUGGAAGAAAAUAAAGCAAGAAAGUAGAUUGGGUCCUGCAGGAGUGGAAGUGUUCAAUUUUUAGCAGGAUUGUUAUUAAGGGCUUCACUGAGCAAGCAACCUUUGAACAAAGACAGACAGGAUAAAAAGGAGUGAAGCACGUGGUGUUCUGGGAAGAGUGGGUUUCAGGCUGAGUGAGCAGCAAUGCAAAGGUCUCAAAACUUUUUGAGAUAUAUUUGAAGAAAAGCAGCAUCACUUGGGAGUGAAACAGAGGGAGAGGAAGAGGAACGAGAUCAGAGGGGUAAUGAGAUGAGAGAGGGAAGAAUUUGUAGGAUCAUGCAGACUAUUUUCAAUACUUUGGCUUUUACUAUAAGUAAUAUCAAAGCCAUAGACUCCUUUGAGCAGACGAAAGGAAUGCUCUAACAUGCUGUAACAGGGUCACCUCAAUUCGGCGAUAAGAACAGAUUGUGAGUGGGGACAGAAGCAAGGGCACUGGUUAAGAGAUUAUGACAAUAAAUCUGGCCAAACGUGAUACUGACUUAUCAAGAUAAUAAAAGAGGAGAUGGUAAAUAGUAGUGAGACGGUAUGGGAUACAUUUGGAAGGAAGAACUGAGUAUUAUUGAAAGAUUGGAUAUGAGAUGCAAAAAAAAAAGGAGUGGAGUCAAAGAAAACUCCAAGGUCUGGGUCUGGACAACUGGAAAAAUGGGAUUUCCAUUCAUUGAAAGAAAUGGGGAAAAGAUUUGAAAGAAAAAUCAGUACAUCUCCCAUUUUAAAGACCUCUUAGACACAUAAGAGGUUGUGUUGAACAGACAACAGGGGUCUUAGCUAGAUAUAUAAAUCUGAUAGUCAUCCACUUACAGUGGGUAUUUAAAGGCAUGAAACUGAAAAACCAAGAAAAGAAGUCCAAAGAAAGAACCUUGGACCUCUGCAAAAGUAAAAGUCAAAGCGAUGAGGAGAAACCAGAAAAGGAGUCUGAGAAGGAAUGUAGAGGAGUGAAGCUAAGUGAAGGAAGGAAUCAACACCUGUGUCUAAUGUUGCCGAUAAGCCAAGUAAGGAAAAUGGAAAGCAGAGUAAUUAAGUGAAAGUGAGAAAAGGAGGUAUUGGAGGAGAAACGAAAAAGAUUCACCCUAAGCUACCAUCUAUUGCCAACUUCCUCUUUUUGUUUCCUCUCCGAAGCCCGACUGCAUGGUUGUGUAUCCUGGUUGUAAGUCCUUCUAGUUCUAUGUGAGCUGCUGCCACAGCACGGCUACUGACAGGAUGCCUGCCACAGCAUGGCUUGCCAGGUGGUGCCAUGUCUGCAUCCGGGAUCUGAAUGGGCGAACCCCAGGCUGCUGAAGCGGAACAUGAGCACUCUACUGCUGAGCCACCCGGCUGGCCCCCUUUUGCCUGUUUUUAAUUGGGAUGUUUAUCUUUUUUAAUUGAGUUGAAAAAGUCUUUUAUAUAUUUUAUAUACAGAUCCUUUAUUAAAAUGGUUUUACAAA